rnacentral:rRNA from 1 species
UGGGGAAUAUUGGACAAUGGGCGAAAGCCUGAUCCAGCCAUGCCGCGUGUGUGAAGAAGGUCUUCGGAUUGUAAAGCACUUUAAGUUGGGAGGAAGGGCAGUAAGCGAAUACUUUGCUGUUUUGACGUUACCGACAGAAUAAGCACCGGUUAACUCUGUGCCAGCAGCCGCGGUAAUACAGAGGGUGCAAGCGUUAAUCGGAAUUACUGGGCGUAAAGCGCGCGUAGGUGGUUCGUUAAGUUGAAUGUGAAAGCCCCGGGCUCAACCUGGGAACUGCAUCCAAAACUGGCGAGCUAGAGUAGGGCAGAGGGUGGUGGAAUUUCCUGUGUAGCGGUGAAAUGCGUAGAUAUAGGAAGGAACACCAGUGGCGAAGGCGACCACCUGGGCUCAUACUGACACUGAGGUGCGAAAGCGUGGGGAGCAAACAGG